GGUAACAUUUCUAGCUUGCUAGAAGAUGACGAGUGGCGGACGGGUGAGUAAUGCUUGGGAACUUGCCUUUGCGAGGGGGAUAACAGUUGGAAACGACUGCUAAUACCGCAUAAUGUCUUCGGACCAAACGGGGCUUCGGCUCCGGCGCAAAGAGAGGCCCAAGUGAGAUUAGCUAGUUGGUAAGGUAACGGCUUACCAAGGCGACGAUCUCUAGCUGUUCUGAGAGGAAGAUCAGCCACACUGGGACUGAGACACGGCCCAGACUCCUACGGGAGGCAGCAGUGGGGAAUAUUGCACAAUGGGGGAAACCCUGAUGCAGCCAUGCCGCGUGUGUGAAGAAGGCCUUCGGGUUGUAAAGCACUUUCAGUUGUGAGGAAAAGUUAGUAGUUAAUACCUGCUAGCCGUGACGUUAACAACAGAAGAAGCACCGGCUAACUCCGUGCCAGCAGCCGCGGUAAUACGGAGGGUGCGAGCGUUAAUCGGAAUUACUGGGCGUAAAGCGCACGCAGGCGGUUUGUUAAGCUAGAUGUGAAAGCCCCGGGCUCAACCUGGGAUGGUCAUUUAGAACUGGCAGACUAGAGUCUUGGAGAGGGGAGUGGAAUUCCAGGUGUAGCGGUGAAAUGCGUAGAUAUCUGGAGGAACAUCAGUGGCGAAGGCGACUCCCUGGCCAAAGACUGACGCUCAUGUGCGAAAGUGUGGGUAGCGAACAGGAUUAGAUACCCUGGUAGUCCACACCGUAACGCUGUCUACUAGCUGUGUGUGCCUUUAAGGCGUGCGUAGCGAAGCUAACGCGCUAA
rnacentral:rRNA from 1 species